CUGGCAAGAACAGGAAUUCGCUCAAUGCAAAUCAAUUGCUUCCAAAGAUUUUGUCGUCCAUGCAAUAUUCUUACAUGCAAGUUUGAAGACCAGAUUGGUCUGUUUGCUGGAGGAAUACUGAAUACUCUGUUCUGAUCUUCAGGACAAACAAUAUUUUUACUUCGGUAUGAAACAAUACUCAAGCUUCAAUCCCUUCAUGGUCCAAGAGCAGUGCCUACCUUUCCAGACCACGGGAACAAACUGUAAUUGCAAGCUAUCAACGCUGGAUGAAGACCUGAGACCAGUUUUGUAAUGGACACAACCGUUAUGUUUGGAUUGC